rnacentral:lncRNA from 1 species
AAAUCAGUCAGAACAGUUAAAAUAUUUUACAAAGACUUCCUGACAUCCAUUUCACCAGUGAUACAGUAUCAAAUGUAUUGUAUCCCCUGCUCCUUCCCUCUGAACCAUGGACUUCACAGAACAAUGGGCAUGUUAUUUGUGAAUUACCUCAACAUUUGAAUCUUGUGCUUCACUAAGAUAUUGAUACCUAGGAAUUCAUCCACUGCUGCAUCAAACACACCUGUACAGGAAACUUGAAUGAAAUGCUGUGGUUCUUGGGCAAGCAGACUCCUGUGGCAUAGACACCAAAAUGGCUGAUUGAAGAUUUUCCUAAUGUGGAUUAACCUGCAUAUGGAGUUAACCUGCAUGAUCCAAAGGAUGGCACUAACACAAAAGUUAGCACAGCACUUGCAUCAUUGACACCAAAAUGGCUGACUGAAGAUUUUCCUAAUGUGGAAAACAGCAGUGUGGUAAAGUCACUCCAGGAAAAAAGUGAGUUAACGAGUAGCAAUUCCACCCAGUUGUUCUUGGAUAAUGAUGAUCCAGUCGUUACGGAAGUACUAGAGACAUCACUGCAGGAGGAGUGCAAGACCACAGACACCAAAAAGGGAAACA